GGAAUUAUUGGGCGUAAAGCGUCCGCAGGGGGCGCAUCAAGUCUGCUGUUAAAGGUCGGAGCUAAACUCCGGUAGAGCAGUGGAAACUGGUGCGCUAGAGGGCGACAGGGGUAGAGGGAAUUCCCAGUGUAGCGGUGAAAUGCGUAGAGAUUGGGAAGAACACCGGUGGCGAAAGCGCUCUACUGGGUCGCACCUGACUCUCAGGGACGAAAGCUAAGGUAGCGAAAGGGAUUAGAUACCCCUGUAGUCUUAGCCGUAAACGAUGGAUACUAGGCGUGGUUUGUAUCGACCCAAGCCGUGCCGAAGCUAACGCGUUAAGUAUCCCGCCUGGGGAGUACGCACGCAAGUGUGAAACUCAAAGGAAUUGACGGGGGCCCGCACAAGCGGUGGAGGAUGUGGUUUAAUUCGAUGCAACGCGAAGAACCUUACCAGGGCUUGACAUCCCGCGAAUCUCUCGGAAAGGAGAGAGUGCCUACGGGAACGCGGAGACAGGUGGUGCAUGGCUGUCGUCAGCUCGUGUCGUGAGAUGUUGGGUUAAGUCCCGCAACGAGCGCAACCCUCGUCCUUAGUUGCCAGCAUUAAGUUGGGCACUCUAGGGAGACUGCCGGUGACAAACCGGAGGAAGGUGAGGAUGACGUCAAGUCAGCAUGCCCCUUAUGCUCUGGGCAACAUACGUCCUACAAUGGUCGGGACAAAGGGGAGCAAGCUCGCGAGAGUAAGCGAAUCCCAGCAAACUCGGCCUCAGUUCAGAUAGCAGGCUGCAACUCGCCUGCUGAAGGAGGAAUCGCUAGUA
rnacentral:rRNA from 1 species